rnacentral:rRNA from 2 species
ACGGGUGAGUAACGCGUGGGAACAUACCCAACUCUACGGAAUAACUCAGGGAAACUUGUGCUAAUACCGUAUACGCCCUUCGGGGGAAAGAUUUAUCGGAGUUGGAUUGGCCCGCGUUGGAUUAGCUAGUUGGUGGGGUAAAGGCCUACCAAGGCGACGAUCCAUAGCUGGUCUGAGAGGAUGAUCAGCCACAUUGGGACUGAGACACGGCCCAAACUCCUACGGGAGGCAGCAGUGGGGAAUAUUGGGCAAUGGGCGCAAGCCUGAUCCAGCCAUGCCGCGUGUGUGAUGAAGGCCUUAGGGUUGUAAAGCACUUUCACCGGAGAAGAUAAUGACGGUAUCCGGAGAAGAAGCCCCGGCUAACUUCGUGCCAGCAGCCGCGGUAAUGCGAAGGGGGCUAGCGUUGUUCGGAAUUACUGGGCGUAAAGCGCACGUAGGCGGAUCGAUCAGUCAGGGGUGAAAUCCCAGAGCUCAACUCUGGAACUGCCUUUGAUACUGUCGGUCUAGAGUAUGGAAGAGGUGAGUGGAAUUCCGAGUGUAGAGGUGAAAUUCGUAGA